GCCAGCAGCCACAUUGCCCUGCAGCUCACAGCAUGCAGCCCCGCUGAAGCUCAGCAGGGUUGAGCCCGGUCAGUACCUGGAUGGGAGGCUCCUGGGAAGCUAUGGUUGCUGCUGGAA
rnacentral:rRNA from 1 species